UUGCCCCUCUUUCAUUAUAUCAUAACGAUUAAGUCCUAAUCUAACCCAUCUCCCCGCCUUUCUUCCAACAUCGAUUUCAAGCAAACAAAUGUGACUUUUCAACUUUUUUGUUGAAGGAUUAAAGGAAUAGCUCAUCAAGGGCAUGGGAUUCGUGGCAGGUCUACUUCUUCUUUACAUGAGUGAAGAAGAUGCAUUUUGUUUCCUGGUUGCAUUGUUGAAGGGAGCCGUUCACACUCCUACGGAAGGUACUUGUAAAUACUUGUGAUAAACCAAUCAGUUAAGAAUCGAUAUGUGAGAAUCAAAAUACCAAGUUGUUAUGCAGUAAAUGACAUUGAAUCAUGACAACAAUACGAAAAGGAGCUUUUUCUUUACUUAUUGUGGCUUAUGCAAACUCCUCAAUCCUUUAUCACCAAACUUCUGUGCUGAGCUUUAAAGGAUUGCAUAAUAUCAUUUCCUUAUAUGUUGCUAGCGCU